rnacentral:rRNA from 1 species
GAUGAACGCUGGCGGCGUGCCUAAUACAUGCAAGUCGAGCGAACAGACGAGGAGCUUGCUCCUUCGACGUUAGCGGCGGACGGGUGAGUAACACGUAGGUAACCUACCUAUAAGACUGGGAUAACCUCGGGAAACCGGAGCUAAUACCGGAUAAUAUUUCGAACCGCAUGGUUCGAUAGUGAAAGAUGGCUUUGCUAUCACUUAUAGAUGGACCUGCGCCGUAUUAGCUAGUUGGUAAGGUAACGGCUUACCAAGGCAACGAUACGUAGCCGACCUGAGAGGGUGAUAGGCCACACUGGAACGGAGACACGGUCCCGACUCCUACGGGAGGCAGCAGUAGGGAAUCUUCCGCAAUGGGCGAAAGCCUGACGGAGCAACGCCGCGUGAGUGAUGAAGGUCUUCGGAUCGUAAAACUCUGUUAUUAGGGAAGAACAAACGUGUAAGUAACUGUGCACGUCUUGACGGUACCUAAUCAGAAAGCCACGGCUAACUACGUG